GGCAUCUGUGGUGUCAAUGGAAACAAGCCGUGCGUUGGCCUGUGUUGAGGUGACAAAGACCCCAUACAGCUCUCCAGGGCGUGCUGGGAUCUUGGUCACAUACUCAGCCUCUCCUGUGUUGAACAAAGGAACAUGCUCAUUCAGUCAAACACACCACUCUGUAUCUUUCCUUUCUGACUAGUUAAUCUUGUCCGUCUAUAUUUACCCCUGCCAUUAUAUGAUUAGAAGUGUGGAUUAGCAUCCCAGGACCACGUGCUGAAACUCUCCUGCCCAAACUCUCCUGCCCACACCCUGAUUACUUUCAAAAGGCUUUAGUUGAAGUGACAUGAUGUUCGUAUGGUUCUAGUGACAGAUUAACAAGAUGUCUACAUUAUUAAUAGGAGAAACACUUAAGAACUUGGCUAAUCAUCUCCAUGGCCUUUAGCAAUAGUUGUGGUGAGAGAGCAAGGCUUUUCUGAAUACUGGUCCUAGUUUGUACAUCCUCAAAUCUCAUCCAUAUGACUGAAAAUUGAAGAUGGAGGGGCAUGAUCGUCUAAGUCACAUGACACGGCACUUCACUAAAGGUAUAUUUGCAGAAUGACAGAGACAGCCACCACCACCACAGCCAUAACCAUCACUCACCGCUGCACUGGAUGGGUGCCUCCACCUUGGUUACAGGCUUUCCCACUGGCCAGGCUUCAGGAUUCUCAGGGAAAGUUUGCUGGCCGCUGGACAAGGGACGCACCAAGUCACUGGCCCCACUCACCAUUGCACUGCUGGCUGAGUCUCCGAGAACCCCAAGCACCAUCUGCCACAAUCAGGUGAGACACGGUAACUUUACAGCGUAUGGGAUAACAAGGGUGAUGUAAGCAAAUAUCUGUAAAAGUACCCUUAAAAACCUGUGACACUUCAACUAGAGGCUUUUAAAUGUAGUGGAGGUGCAAUGCAGAAUGUUUCAGAAAAUGGACCAAAGAAUUAUAAGAUCUAAUUGAACAGUUAUGUCCAGUUGUUAAAGUGUAAAAACCAUACUGAAGUUUGUGUCAUCUUGAAUAUUCUCAAAGCAAAAUAAUUAAUCAUUCAGUGUCUGAGUGAGGGUGUGAGAGUCUGUAUUUACCUAGUUGUGUGAGUCUGAGUGAGUCUGUGAGAGUUUUGAGUGAGUCUGUGUGAGUCUGUGCGAGUCUGUGCAAGUCUGAGUGAGUCUGAGUGAGUGUGUGAGUCUGUGUGAGUCUGAGUGAGUCUGUGUGAGUCUGUAUGAGUCUGAGUGAGUCUGUGUGAGUCAUCAAGCUCCCUGUCACUGCACCUUGUACAGCAGGGUCUGGGUGAGGGACAGCCUGUACUCUGGUGAAGUCUCCCCAGGCUUGAUGGCAGGAACAACCUCAGUAGCCAGUGCUGACAGUGCCGCCUGCAGUACCAUCUCAUCCUCCAGGCUCUUCCCGGCAAGGGCUGCCUCCGUUGCAGUGGCGCGGAUCUUGGAAUGUGUGCCGUUGCCGCAUCCACCCGUACCUUGAAGCCGGCACUCACAUCAGCCAGGGCAGUGGAGGUCCUAGGCCGCACCUGUAAUGAAGAUUUGCUGUACUGCUGCCGAGACAAGGUAGAGAGAGAGGAAGAUUUGCUGUACUGCUGCCGAGACAAGGUAGAGAGAGAGGAAGAUUUGCUGUACUGCUGCCAAGACAAGGUAGAGAGGAUGAUUUGGUGUACUGCUGCUCAAACAAGGUAGGUGUGGUAGUGUUUAGUAACUGAGGAAAGAUGUGGCAAGGAAGUGGAAGAGUUAAAGGAAAGACUUGUCACAAUUUGAUACUAAAACCUUAAUGUAUUGCACUGACAUGAAAUAGAAAGACAAAUUCACACUUAAACACUUCUGAAAUCUGUCCCUCACAAGCCACACUUUUAUGCUUAAUUCAAUGUACUAUACUAAUAUCAAACAAAAAGACAGAAUCACACUUAGACAUUCCUGAAAUCCAUCCCUCAUAAGCUAAAUCUAAUAGUAAUACUAAUAUCAAACAAAGACAGACAUACUUCAAUACUCCUGCAAUCAUUCCCUCCAUCCAUCAGACCAGCCUCUCCUCACCUUGAUGGUCCUCACGAAGACGUCAUCAGGGAGCGGUGGGAGGCUGACCUGUAGGAUGACCCUUCGCUGUCCCACCAGGUCCACCUCCAUCAGCUCCUCCAGCGUGUGGGUGUCACUGGACCCGUCUGGACUAACUGUACCAAUAAACAUACAUACAAACUUUUAAGACCUGUGGUGAUGGUGGCACCAGCUGUUACCAGACCCACAAAGAUGUCUGAGGUGAAGUCAGGGUGAUUCACUUUGGUGGCAAUGUUUCCUCCCCAACUGCCCAGCUGUGAGAAGCAUGUGACAACACAGUGAAGGUCAGGAUGAGCAACAACUUAUAGAAUUACUCUAACUAAUAGUAAAUUAAGUUCAUGGCAAUACAGUGAAAGUUAGAAGAAUAAAUGUCUCCAACCAGUAUAUUGUAAAUUAAGCUUAUUUAAAUAUUAAGCACAUUUAGUUAAGUUGGAAAUAGAUUGGUAUGUUUCUUGCAGGGACUGCCACAUUUAGGCCUGAUAGAUUUGUGCAGCUUCCUUUAUUUUAAUUAUGUUAUGCUCUUAAGUCUUUACAAGUAAUAAAAGCACAUACUGAAGCAUUUCCAAAAUAGCCUCACUCACUUUGCACAGAAUUUUCUCAUGUUCUUAAGAUUCAGCAGGUAAAAUAAGUGCAAACAAGAGCCCCUCCAAAACUGCUGCACUCACAUUGCGCAGGGACGUGUUGCCAAGGUGCUUCCAGGUCUCGGCCAGGUGGGAGACGUAGGCAAACCCACCAAGGGUCUGGGCGGCGAGGAACAGCUGCUCCAUGAGGCGAGUGAUGGAAACAUUGGCGCCAAACACAAGGGCUUCUGUCUCCAGCUUUACCGCCGACAGUUCAGGGACAUUGCCAGUGUAGAUGUACUCAGUGUAUGCCCCUCCUUCGUACACGGCUGAGAGGAGGUGCUUGUAUAGUUACAGGAUGUACAGUACACACUCAUCUAUAUAUGGAUCAUUGCUACUGCCUAUCUAGUGUCUUUUGAUGUGUUCAUUGUAUGGUUCUCCUUCAUACAUCAAGAGGAGGUGUUCAUUAUAUAGUCACAGGAUAUACAGUACACAUAUCAGCUAUAUGUGUAUUGUAACUGCUGCCUAUCUAUUAUCUAUUGACUGGAGGUAAUAUCAAAAUUCUGACCUAUAAUAUUGUAAAAAAAAAAAAACAGAUUAAUAUUUAGUGAUUUUUCUUUUCUUUUCUUUUCUUCUUUGAAGGAACUAACAAAAGUUGUCUGAAAUAUGUGAGGAUAAUUGCAAAAUUCUGAUCUUUUGAUGUAUAGAAGACACUUGCAUACACACUGCCACUGCAUUACCUCCCAUGCUUACCUUGGGCUGUGUUUCCGCAGACCAGCGUGUACUUGGUCCCCUCAGGAAGUCCAGCGAGAGUGUCAAGCAGUUCCUUAGAGAAAAAGAUGAGAUUAAUCACCCUGCCAUGCUACAAUCACCAGUUAUUAUAAGAUUGGGAUUUUAUUAAAGUUUCCUGGUUAAUUUUCUCUCUAAUUUCUCACCUGCAGGGAGGACGGCUGGUGCCAGGUGGAGUCCUUCAGCUUCAGGGGACUGCCAGCGCUCUUCCCACAUGCCUUCUUCCCCUGCUGGCAUGGAGAGUCACAGUUACCUCAGUCAGACUGUAUUUGCUUGCCGAGUGUCUACAUAUCUGUCAUUAUUAAUGUACAUUAUUGAGCCUGGGCAUAGCACAGCCAGCCACACAGUACAGUAGGGUGGUGCACAAGACUUUCCCUUCCCACCGGCAGAUGACGGGACUAAGAGUGUGAAUGAUGUUCUCACCUGAUUGUAUUUUAGAGGUUUGGGUCAAGUUCAUAAUUUCAUGUCUUUUAAAGUUAGUUUGUCAUAUUUAUCUUUAAAGGUAUGAAUUCAGAACUCAUAGGUAUUAGAAAGCCAUCAUAAAUCAUUCAAUAUAGGAUAUGCUACACUAAAUCCCUAUUCCUUAAGAUUCAAAUUUGCUAUGUUUUGAUGAUUCAGAAAGGUAUCAGCAAGCCAUCAUAAACCAUUCAGUGUGGAAUAUGUUAUACUAAUCCCCUAUGACUCAGAUGGCAGUGUAAACCAGGGGACAAAGGGAGGUCUUCCUCCUCACCUCCCCCUUGGGCUUGUUGGAGCAGCAGCCGGAGCAGGCCUUGCCAGUGGUGGGGCACCUCGUCUUGUGCACGUCCUGCCGAGACAUAGGUGAAGUGAAAAUAUUGCUACUCACACUGGUUUACUGGUUGGUAAUGUGUGUUCCAUGUAGUAAGUUGUUUGGCGUGUAUCGUGAUUAUCUUGGCCUCUCAUGCAUAACCAUCCAUACAUUGCUAAAUUAUUAUUAUCUUAUUUUGUUAUGUUAUAUCUUAUGUUGUUGUGGUCUUUUCUUAUUUUAUGUUAUUUCGUAUCUUAUUUUCUCUUAUGUAUUUAUGCUCUUAUCUUAGACUGUUAUGUUCUUAUCUUAUACUUUUAUGUUCUUAUUUUAUAUUUUUGUGUUUUUAUCUUAUCUCCUAUCUUAUGUAGUCAUGUUGUUAUCUUGUCUUGUGUUCACCUCAAUGUCCUGUGGCGUGAGGGACUUGAAGGCGUCCAGGAUGGGGCGGUAGCCAGUGCAGCGACACACUGUCCCGUCCAGCUGCUGUUCCACAUCCUCCUUGGUCCACUCAGCCUUGCUCUGGGACAGCCUGGCCAGGAGAGGUGCAGUGUGUUCCCGAGUGUCACCUCCAGCCCCCAGAGGGACACUCACCCAUACAUGUUCAUCACCAUGCCGGGGGAGCAGUAGCCACACUGGGUGCCUGAGUGCUGGGUGAGGCGUUCCUGGAUCACGUGGUAGCCAUCAUACUUGUUCCCCAGCCCCUCGAUGGUGGUCAGUUCCCAGCCAACGCAUGCCAGCACAGGCACCAGGCACUGCAAUGAUGCCACUUUGAACCACAUGCUGAAACACUUCUGCAGCAGAGAGUUAGCAGACUGCAUCACAUGGCUCCAGCAUCCAGCAUACUUAGAUUUAGACAGACAAGAGAAGAAUAGAAGUACACUAAUAAAAAAGAAUACAAAUCAUGAGAAAUUCAACAAAAGAAGAGAGAUAAACACAAGUAAACUAAGAGAAAAAAUAAAAACCAUGAAAAAUCCAGCAAAGCAAAGAGAAGCAAAACACAAGUAAACCAAGAAAAAAAAACACGAAGCAAAAGAAACAAAACAAAAGUAAACCAAGAAAAGAAUAAGAACCAAGAGAGAAACCCAACUACCCAAGGAACCAACAGCCCCCAAACAAUCAAAUCCUCAACUACUGACACUAUUAAUGGUCAUGGUCUUCUUCUCCAGUGUGUCAGGGUCUGUGAGAGUGGCCACCACAGUGCAGGCCCCACAGGCACCCUUGUAGCAGGUUUUGUGGGUGCCCAGCAGCUGAUUGUCAUGCAGGAAGGUCAGUAGAUGAGUGUUAGGGGAGACCUCGCCCACUGCAGGAGAGAAGACCGUCCUUAGAGAGGCGGAGGUUAAGAGGGAUCUGAUAGAGGUCUUCAAGUUCGUUAGGUUGAAAUUUGAUGGAGGUUUUUAAGUGGUUUGAGUUUUAAGAGGGGAUCUGAUACAAGUCUUCAAGUGGAUUAGGUCUAAAGAGGGGAUCUGAUGGAGGUUUUCAAGUAGUAUAGACUAAGAGAGGAUCUGAUGGAGGUCUUCAAGUGGGUUUAGGUAUUGCAAGGGGUUCUUAACUGUAAUAUUCAUCUUAAAGACUAAAUAAAAAAAAGACAGGAAAGGUUCUAAUCCAACAUAAUAAGUGCAGCCUAAAAUAUCUACGUACAACACUAUUUUAAGUCUUUCACUGCUCCACAAACUUCUUUUUAAGCCUCCUUAAGACUCGGCACUAACUUACAUACUGAGUCUAUUUUAUUUAUCCACCACUUCCUGCAUAUCUCCUUUUUAUUUAUUUUUUAUCGAUCUUAAACCAUUAUUUUUUGUCCUGUUUGCUUAUUGAUCCUGAGGAUGUUUUUUUUUUGUCAUCCUUGUUUAUCCCUUAUACCACUUGAAAAGCUCAACAUAAGCAUUAGUGAUAAAUUAGCAUAAGUUUAGCAUAAGUAUUAGUUAAGCAUUGGCUCUUCUUUAGGGACUGGCACCUCUGUGGAUAUAUAUUAUACAUGUAUUUUGCGCCAUUGACCAGUGAUUUUACAUAAUAAAUAAAUAAUAAAAAUGUAUGAGUGUGCAUGCCCAUGCUGGCAACCAUGGACUUAGCAGAUCGCCUGUCAGCCACACGUGCUGUUGGUUGUUUUGGUGGAUCCUUGUGUGUAUACGGUGGACUGCCCUGGCAUUAAACUCAUGGAAAUCUAAUGCGUCUAAGUACAGUUCCGGUAUCACUUCACAUGAAGGUUACUUUAGGACUGCGCCAUUACCGUAACUUAUAGGAGUGAGAAUAUCUGAGCUUAACAGUAAUGCAAGUUCAUUCAUAUAGGAACAGAUCUUUAAGUCCAACCAAGGAUUCUAUAUUCCUUCCUUGUCCCCAACUGACUUCAGUUAGACUGCCUGACUUGGCCUCCUUACACUAGCUGCAUGUAGUAGUAGUUGUUGGAGAGAGAGAGAGAGAGAGAGAGAGAGAAAGAGACCUGACCCGAUGACGAUUCAUUGUGGCGACGAAGCAGAACACAACUUGUGAUCGCGACUGUACAUUAUUAAUUAAACAUCCAAAUUGACAUAACUACUAAAGAAAUCU